UAGAAAAAGAGCAACCUAUAUGAUUUAUUUUUGUGCUCUUUGCGACAGUUAUAUGCAUGUCCUUUGUGCUCAGUCAAAAAUACCCUUUUUUAUAGACCAGCCAAAAAGACAUGACCAUACUCUCACCCUUUUCCCUAGACAAGCUUCCUUAACCUGCAAUAUUUGUGGUUUGAUAAAUAAACUCCAUUUCACCUACGUUUGCCCUAUAUGCGAUUUCGUAGCCCAUAGUGAUUGUAUUUAUAUCCCACAAACCAUAAGAAUAUCCCGUCACCACCAUCGUGUCUCUUUUAUUUCUUCCCUUCCUUUUGAAGAAAAGUCUUGUGGAGUUUGCCGUCAAAUGGUUGAUAGUGAUUAUGGUGCAUACACUUGCAAUGUGUGUAGUGGCUAUGUCGUUCACGUAAGAUGUGCAUUACGUAAGGAUAUAUGGGAUGGUAAAGAACUCGCGGAAGUACCAGAAGAGUUAGAAGACGUUGAGUCCUUCAGGAAGAUAGCUAAUGGAGUAAUACUCCAUUUUUCUCAUCGCCAUCAUCUGAAAUUUGACAUAAGUGGAGUUUUCGUUGGAAACAAAUUUUGUCAAGCGUGUGUCCUUCCAAUCAACGAAGGAAAUGUUUAUGUUUGUGUGGAAUGUGAUUUCAUCCUACACGAAACAUGUGCAUAUGCUCCACGUAAAAAGGUCCAUCCAUUACAUCCCCAUCCCCUUACACUAAAGGUUGAUCAUGGAGACGCUUUAUUCCAAUGCAGUGCUUGUAUGCGUAAGAGUAAUGGUUUCGGAUAUGAUUGUACUAGCCGAACUUGUUACUACAUACUAGAUGCAGUGUGUGCCUCGACUGCUGAGCCGUUCAAUUAUCAAGGCCAUCGACAUCCCUUAUUCCUAUCGUUAGACCCAAAAGAGAAGCCAAUGUGCCACAUUUGCAAGUCAACGAAAAAUAAGAAGGUACUUAACUGCAUUGAAUGUGACUUUAUUAUAUGUUUUGAAUGCGCCACCUUACCAUACAUGGUAAGGUACAAGCAUGACGAACAUUACCUCACAUUUUGUCAUGGAGAUGAGGCAAAUGGAUCAGAUUGGUGUGAAUUAUGUGAGGGAAAGUUAGCAAUUGGAGGAAAAGAAGGGUUCUAUAAGUGCAAAGAUUGCUGCACCACGCUUCAUAUUAAUUGCUUACUUGGUCCUGAUCCAUAUUACAAGGCUGGUCAAACUUACGAAAUUGGUGAAAUUGCAAUUCUUUUGCAACACAACAAUUCUGCUUCUCGGCCUAUUUGCUAUUUUUGCAAUAUCCGUUGUCCGUAUCCAAUAUUUUUGGUAGCCACAGUGGAUAGGAUUGCUUAUAUUCUAUGUUCUAGUAAACACUUGAAGUAGGGGAAACCCUACAAUACAUGUCGACAACCAUUGAGUUAUCUGUUUUCUUUUAAAUUUUUUCUGCAACGCUUUUUCUAAUAUGUUGUUGUUGUUUUUGUUGUUGUUGUUGUAUAUAUAUAUAUAUUGUUUGUUUUUUUUGUCAACGUUUUUCGUGUGCUUUUGAUGUAAUAUGUUUACAGUGUGUAAUAAAGCAAUCACUUUUUUUAUCAAAAAAAUCCAUCUGGUUUAUUAGACUAAAUCAUUAAUUUUUUAUAAGAGAUGUCGUGAAAUUCCUCUAUAGGUGAAAAAUAUGGAACUUAUAAAGUGAAAAACCGAGAUAUAUAGAGACGAUGUAACGUCAAAAAGACUUGGAUUUUCAAAAUUUGAAACAUUUCAUUAGAAAGUCAAAAGUAGAUAUUUUAAAAUUUGAAACUUAGUUCUUGUUAUCUAUCCAGUAUCAACAUUCAAUGAAUGACAUUUCAAUACGCGGAGUUAUGUCCUCCCAAACCCACAAACUCCCUAUAGCAAAUCUCACAAACUACUAAUUUUUUCUCCACAAUUUCACUUAAUCUAACUAUAAUCUUUCUACUUGAUAAUGAAGCAAAAGCAACUAUUUCACCAUAAAAUUUCUGAUUUAAGAAAAUAAUUCUUUCGAUUUUAGGAUAAAAUUAAAAUCAAUUUCAUUCCUGAAUUAUUUCGGUUUUUCUUCUUAAAUUUCUGAUUUUUUAAAUAUUUUAUACAUAUUUAAGGAAAAGAAAUAGGGAAAAAUGUUAUUUAAUACCUGAACUUUCAAAAAAUGGCCAAAUUAACCGUGAAUUCUUGAAAUGGCCGUUUUAUACCUCAACAAAUAGUUGAUUUCUAAUUUAACCUAUAAAUUAUCGUUGAUCCGGCCAAAUCGACUCACCGUUAACACUUCUUAACAGCUCUCCUAACAGCGUAACUAACAAUUGUUUUCGUCCUUAAACCAACGACAACGGCUGUUAGGCCAUGUUUUGUAAUGGCUGUUAGGAGCGCUAUUAAGAAGUGUUAACGGUGAGUCGAUUUGGUCGGGUUAACGAUAAAUUAUAGGUUAAAUUAGAAGUCAACGAUAAAUUAUAGAUUAAAUUAGAAGUCAAUUUUUUGUUGAGGUAUAAAACGACCAUUUCAAGAGUUCACAGUUAAUUUGGCCAUUUUUUGAAAAUUCAGGUAUUAAAUAACAUUUUUCCUAAAAGAAAUAUAUUUCUUUCAUGUAAUUUGGUUGUAGAAAAGUUAAGACACGUAACAAAAAAAAAGAACAGUAGUUUGUUAGUGGUAUUUUGGUCUGAAAUAACAUAAUUAGCGAAUUUGUGAAAGCUCCAUUUCACUUUGUCAAAACAUGAGAACAAAAGUCGUAAUAUGGGUUAAUGUGAAUUUUUUUUUUAAAAUUAUCAUGCUACUUUGUUAUUCAUAGUUGAGUGAGUUUCACUUUGCUAUACUUUUGGCAAGAUUAUUUUCAAAAGAGACACUUUCAUCUUUUUUUUUCACUAUUCAACAUUUUUUAAUACAAUUUUGCCCUUUUUUCUUUAUUUCUCUUUUUCAUUUUUAUUAUCUUUUUAUUAUCAUUUUAGUUACCUAAUAUAAAAUAUUUCGUCUGUUUUUUUAUAUAAUAAAUUAAGAUUUAAUUUUUCUUAUAUUUCGAAAUUUAAUUUAUCCAUUUCCGAUUGGACAUUUGUUUAUUAUUAAAUAGAUAUUAAAAAGUACUUAAACAAAUAUGCUUUACCAAUAUUUAGAUCUUGGUGUCACAAAAAGAACAAACAAACAUUAUACUCUAUGUUAGAAUCGAUCACACUAACGAUGUUGGAUUUUACGAACGACCAAUAAGAAGUCAAGUUAAUCAACUAUCCAUCCAAUUCAGUAUAGCACUACUUUCCAUUAUAUUGUUGUUUAUUGAUAAUGAGAAAUGUUAUAUCGUGCUAGAGCUUUACUUCUCAUUGUCUCAAGUCAACUCUCACACGAUUUAACACAUCCUUGAGUUAAAAAAAGUAUAAACAAAUUUUGGUUCAUUUAUUAGUCUAAUUGGCCUCAUCGCUCAAUGAAGCUAUACUAUCGCAAUCCAAAAUGUCUCAAUGAAGAUAUCCUACUAUCAAUGAAGCUAUACUCUCUAUAAACUAUACCGAAAGUUUUUUACUAGAGAUUUCUUAAUGAAAUCUCUAUCCCUUCGAUUCAUAUAUGUAGGAUAUCAUGUAAAUUAUAAUACAAAAAGACCGUUGAGCUAAAUAUUAAUACUCAAUCUGUAUCAUUUUAAAUGAUGUUUACAAGAGAGAAAAAUUGUUUCAUUUAAAUAAUGUAAUACAGUAAAAACCUUAAACAUUCCUUGAAAUGAAGAGAGUAUAUUAUUAUGGGCUAUAUUAAUGUAUAUGCCUGAAAGACUUGAAAAUUAGAUAUUUACUAUAAAUAGUUUAAUAUUAGGUAAGAAUAAAAGAGAAAAAAAUUAAAACUAUAAAUAUCUUUUCUAUUUAUUUAAUUUACCAAAUUUGCCAUUGUCUCACAACAUUAUUUAUUACCGGAUACUUUAGGCAUGAUACUGUUCAUCAUAUACCUGACAACUCUAUUCAUCCAAAAUUUACAACACUAUUCAUCAUUGGAUUGCAUAAAAUAUUUAUGGUUUAUGUAGAUAACUAUUUGAUUAACAUGUUAACUAGUAUGAUAUCGUGCUAGAUACAGAUAAAUGUUUGAUUAACAUGUUAACUAGUAUAGUAUCACGAUAAAUUUAUAUAUAACGUAUUAAACCAUUUACCAUAUUAUACAAAUUAAUAUGAAAGAAUCAAAUUCGGUUGACAAAAAAAAAAAAAAAAAUCAAAUUCAAAUUAGAAUAACAUAUUAUACUGAAUAUAACGUGCUAACAUAUUAAAUAUUUGAAUAAUAUUUUUAUAUAAAUGUGGUAAAAUAUUUGAUAUAUAGUGAAAUUAUAACAAUAGUUUAUACACGACAUAUUUGGUAAAUUAAACAAAGUAAAAAAGACAGUUAUGACUUUAAUUUUUUUUCUCUUACAUACUUACCCAAUAUUGAAUUAUCAAUGGUAAAAUCUAGUUUUCACAUUUUCUGGGCAUAUCCAUUAAUACUAGAUGAGUACCCACGCUACGCGUGGAUUUAUUUUGAAAAUUGUUAAAAAAAAUAUUUACAUUGAUUGUUAUUUUUGCUAAUUUUUGUUUAUUCUUUGUUUAUUCUUGUAUUGUUAAUAAAAUUAGAUCCAUAAUAUGUACUUAUAAUUUUUAUGGUUAGAUUCAUUUGUGACUAAUUUAUUUAUAAAGCUGAUUAUUUAUAAAAUUUUAAUAUUUUCACUUCAUGAAUACAUAUAACAACAAUAUCUGAUAUUCUGAUAGAAUUAUGUAUAAUUAUGUUACUUGUGUGGUUUAAAAUUUGCUUAACUCGAUUAUAAAUAAAUCAAUUCCUUGUUUUAUGUACUUCAACGAUAUUGUGAUAGGUUCAUGAUUAAAGUUUGGAUUGACAUCAACUGAAUAAGAUCUGAAAAAUAUUCAUAUGUAAAAAUAAGAAGAUGGCAAAAAUUGAAUAUCAUUUAAGUCAACAAUUUUAGAUUUUCUAUCAUUGCAUAUAUCAAUAUUAGAAAAAUGAUCAUGUCUUGGAUGAUUUGAAAAUUGUCUAACUUGAUUACAAAUAAACUAUUUCUGGUCUUAUAUAUUCUCUUGAUAUAAUAAUCAACAACAUUGUUAUAAGCUCAUGAUUAAAUAUAUAAAAUUGAUAUAAACUAAACAAGAUUUCAAGCGUAUUCAUAUGAAAAAAUAAAAAGAAAGCAAAAAUUAAAAUAUCAUUUAAGUCAAUACUUUUAGAUCUUCUCUCAUUGCAUAUAUCCAUAUAAGAGAAAUAAUCAUGUAUUAAAUUAUUUGGUAGGUCUAAUGUUUCAAAGGUUUAUUAUUUGAAAAAAUUUGAAUGUUAAUGUUAUCAAAGACUCAAAAUAAAAUUACUAAACUAAUAAGAGGUUAGGUAGCAAACAUCUUCAAUGCAAAACAUUUUAGUCAUUAAAAUAGUGAUUAUUGAUAAUAAAAAAUUAGUAAAAUAAAAAUAAUAUAAUGUAAGUAGUGCUUAAUUUAUUAACAUAAUUUUUAUUUUUUAUUUUUAUUUUGAAGAAAUCAAUUAAAAUUAGUAUUGAUGAUACAUUUAAUUUACUUAUUAAAUUUUAUUAAAUUUUAAUUUAAAAAAUAUAAAAUGACACAUGUCAUUUCUUGUGUAAUGACGUGUCAUUCAUAUGGAGAGAGUUGGUCAACUUUUAUAUAUAUGAUUUUUCUAUUAUAUAUUACAUUAAAUACUUUUUGAAACAGAGUCAAAACUAUUACAGUAAAUAUUAUAAACUAACGUUAGUUGGAUUUAAUUAUUUUUAAUUUCAGCUUAGCUGUAUUUUUUGUCAACCAACGUCAACGUGGUAACGUAGCUGUAAUAUAUAACAAAAAUGACUUCUACAUUAAUAUAACUUAAUUCGUAAUAAUAAUGUGAAAAUUAGCUAGCAUUUAGCGCCCAUAGUUUAUUUGCUACUAUAUGAGUCAUUAAACAAUUACGACUAGAUCAUAUCAUUCUAAAAUAAUAUCAAACAAAUUGCAAACUGGAGUUGUUUAAUCCUUGGGAAGCUAAAAGUGAAAUCUUAACGAGGACAACACCUUUCAGUCUUUAUAUAUACACAUAUGUAGGGGCAAGAAGGAUAACAACAUCCCAAAACCCUAAAAAAUACUCUAAUCGAGCAACCAUGGACUUCUUCGGAGAAUUUCAGAAGAGAGAAAUCGAGGGGAAACCAUAUCUCGUAUACUAAAACGUUAUAAAGCCACAAAUACAAACCCCAAACUCCUCUGAUGAAAAAACCACCAUCGAUAAUCCAUUAUCAAUCCAAAAUUUAAACUCCAUAGCCAUUGAUUCCGGCGACAAUCUCCCUCUUGCACCUCUUUUCAUAUGCCCUGAUUUACGAUAUCGAUUAACAGCGACUGUCGAUAAUAUUACAGUCUCGGGUGAAGAUGGGGGUAUAUUACUUGACCUCUUUUUCAAGCUCAAGACUUCCCCUCUCCAUGGUGACAGUACGUCAUAUUAUCAUGUCGUACUCCCUCUGUUUUGGUGCAACAAUAAAGAAGCUGAUCCAGACAUGGAUUGCGGUUUUUGCGAAGGCGAUAAGGUCGGUACAUGCUAUUAUUACUGUGUCACGUGUGAUGAAAGGUACCACAAAGAAUGUGUUGAGUCUCCACUUGAGAUCACUUAUCCUUCCCACCCUCAACAUUCUCUCCAAAUUUACCUUUCUACAAAACCAUUUGAGCAUUGCAUCUUGUGCUCAAGAAAGGCACAUAAUAUUAUUUAUUAUUGUGAUGUCUGUGAUAUUUACAUGCAUGUGCUUUGUGCUCAGGCGACAAUACCCUUUUUCAUAGACCAACCAAAAAGGCAUGAUCAUACACUCACCCUUUUCCCUAGACAAGCUUCCUUAACCUGCAAUGUUUGUGGUUUAGUUAAUAAACUUCAUCUCACCUACGUCUGCUCCAUAUGCAAUUUUGCAGCCCAUAGUGAUUGUAUCCAUAUCCCACAAACCAUAAGAAUGUCUCGCCACGACCAUCGUAUCUCUUUCACUUCUUCUCUUCCAUUAGGAAUAUGGUCUUGUGGAGUUUGCCGCAAAGAGAUUGAUGGUGAUUAUGGUGCAUAUAUUUGCAAUAUUUGUAGCGGCUACGCUGUUCACACAAGAUGUGCAUUGCGACUCGAUAUAUGGGAUGGCAUUGAUCUCGAAGGAGUACCAGAAGAAGAUGAAGAAGUUGAGCCAUUCGAGAGGAUAUCAGAUGGAAUAAUACUCCAUUUUUCUCAUGGUUGUCAAUUGAAACUUACGACCUAUGAAGUUAACGGCGAAGAAAAGUUUUGUCAAGCGUGUGUCCUUCCAAUCAAUGAGAAGAAUUUGUAUGUAUGUGUGGAAUGUGGCUUCAUCCUACAUGAAACAUGUGCAGAUGCUCCCCGCAAGAAGUUCCAUCCAUUGCAUCCCCAUCCACUUAAACAAAGAGUUGCUACAGCUGACCUUGAACGUGGAUUCUCCUAUCUUGCAUGUAAGCGCCUAAGUAAUAGUUUCAGAUAUGAGUGUGACAAAGAGGGUUGUGACUGCGUUCUUGAUGUAGUAUGUGCUUCGGUUUCUGAGCCGUUUGAUUAUCAAGGUCAUCCACACCCCUUAUUUCUAGCUUUAGACCCCAAAGAAAAGCCAAUUUGCAACAUUUGCAAGUCAACCAAGGUUCAUAAACUAUUGAACUGCAUUGAAGUCGAGUGCAAUUUUGUUAUAUGUUUUACGUGUGCCACCUUACCAUACAUGGUAAGGUAUAAGCAUGAUGAACAUUACCUCACAUUUUGUCGUGGAGAUGAGGCAGGUGGCUCAGACUGGUGUGAGUUAUGCGAAGGAAAAUUAGCAAUUGGAGGAAAAGAAGGGUUCUAUAAGUGCACUUAUUGUUGUACCACGCUUCAUAUUAAUUGCUUGCUUGGUCCAGAUCCAUAUUUGAAGCCUGAUCAAACUAUCCCAACGGAUCAAAUUGAGGUGGUUUUACAACGCAACAAUUCUGCAUCUCGUCAAAUUUGCAGCAAAUGCAAUAUUCGUUGUCCGUAUCCAACAUUUGCAGUAUACACAAAGGAAAUGGUUUCUCAUAUUAGGUGUGCUCUAACAUGUUAACAACCAUUGAGAAAUCCCUUUUAUUUGAAAUUUGAAUUGUAACUAAGUGUAUCUGCACUUUUUUAAUAUGUAAUUUGUUUUUUUGCUUCUUGUUUGUUAAACCUUUUCAUUGUUUACGUUCCUUUUAAUUAUAUAAAACGUUUACUGUAUAUAAAAUGUCGUAAAAUACUUUUAUAGAGGUGAAAAAUAUGGAUUUUGUGGAGGGAAUAACGAGAUCAUAUAGAGACUGUAACUUCGAAAAGACAUAAUUUUUCCAAAUUCGAAACACUUCAUCUACAUACUCAAUUCAUUAAUAUGAUUAAGUUGACGUCAGAUUAUAUCUUCAAAUCAGUUCUCACUAGUUUUUGACAUCUCUAUCCGCAUUCAAGUAAUGACCAAUUUCAAAUACCCAAAUUCACGUUCUCUUGAGAACACAAACUCUUGCUAACAAAACUGAAAGACUUUGUUCACAUACAUUGAUUAUACAUAUAGAAAAGAUGUAGGUCCAAAUCACUUCAUACUCUUCUAGACUAACUUUCUCAGACGCAUUCUUUCGGGCGUAUAUUAGCAUGCCACCACCAACGACCUCCUAAUCGCAACUCUAACCGCACCGACUACACUCAGUUGCCUCGUCUCUGGUCUUAGCUCUUUACAUUCGGUAUUUCUACAACUUGCUUCCACCUGAACAUCCACAAAAUAUUAUCUAUGCCGGUUUGUGAUGAUCGAACGUUUCCAAAACAUGAGUGAGCGUAGGAAUAGGAUACAUCUUUAAGAUGAAUUUUUGUGAUGAUUUUUUCUGAUGUUGCCUUUGUUUUUUGUUUUUUUUAGAAAAAUAUUAAAUUUAUUCAAAGAAAAAAAUUUGUUUUACAAUAUAUGCAGCCAUUAGUCAACUUGGUUUAGAGUUUAGAUCAAAAGGUAAAAGAGCUCAAAAGCAAAACUAGUGAUUUGGCGUUUUGUUGUCUCUCGUUGCGAACCAUAUUCCUCCGACCACACAUUGCUUCAUAUCCAUACUUCACUUAUCGCAUUCACAUUCGAGUAAUAACCAUUUUUUGUUGUGUGGCUUUUUAAUGUUAAAGCCCAUUUUCGUUUUCUUUUUUUCGUCGGAUUACAAGUCAAAUCAAGUUAAUUAACCACAGUAAAAAAAUCCGAACGUUGUAAAAAUUCGACAACGGCCAGGAAAGUUAGUAAAUUUAAAUUAUAAAUCGUCACGUUACGUGAUUAGAAAGCGCAACGACUAAAUAUAUAACGACUACCAAAUUCUCUACGUCUAUAUAAUAAAACAGAACAUGAAUUAUAAUGUCCUAUGGCACAUUUUUUUAUUAGAGACAUUAAUUAUCCAUGUGCAAUAAGCAAUAAACUGAUCCAUGUGCCUUAUAUUAGAUUUUUAACAACGACUGAUAAAGAAGUCAACUUAAUCAUCCAACCAAGGCCAGCCAAGUCGGUAUCGCUACCACUACUUUUCAUUAUUUCUAUAUACUAUAAAAAAAAAUUAAUCUGGUGGCGUCACGAUUAAUUGCAACAUUUUUGUUUGACUUUUACAUUUUCGAUUAAUCUGGUGGCGUCACGAUUAAGGAUUGGCCCCAUUAGCUAGGUGGAUACUAAUUGCUUAGUUCAUUCGAAGUCUACCAUUUUCCAGUUUCCUUUAUAUAUGUUAUUGAACUAAUUAAAUUUAAUUAAAUAUUCGAGCUUAUGAAUGAAAUUCUUAUGAGAAACGAUUUUUUUUUAAACUAGAGAUUAGAAACGUUUUGGAAACGUAUACAAAUAUAUAUAUAUAUAUAUAUAACAUUAACAUAAAAUUAGAUUGAAGAAAAAAUGGUUUAAACCAUACAAAUCUAAACUAUCAAUAUUAAAUAAGUUAACUAAAACUCUAAAGAUAAAGAUUAAAAGGUUUAAGUUCAAAUAUUUAAUUUAGACCAACAUUUUUAUUCUUAUUUUCAUUACUUUCAUCAAAGAUAAUUUAAAUCUCUCUUCAAAUCUGGUUUAUCAAAAGAAAUAUCUUAAAACUGAGAGUCUUCCAAAAUUAGUUAUAUGUAUUAAUAAUUUUAAGAUUUCUAUUUUUUUUGUUUUUGUAAUCCGAAAAUUAAUUAGGGCUCAAACGAGCCAAACCUGAGAAAUGUUGUUUACAAAUUUAAUAUAAAGCGGUUGGGUACGAACUCAUAUUUCCAGUUUUAGUUAUUAAAUUUUUUAAGUCAAUAAAAAAUAUUUGUCGUAUGUCUAUUUUAGAAAUAUAAGUUUCUAUUUUGGAAACUUGAGUUUCUAUCGUGUUUCCAAAAAUAAAUUUUUAAAAAAUAUGUUUUCGUGACGAUUUUCGUAUUUCCGAAAAGUUUCUGUUUCCGAAAUGUUUCGAAAUAUAAAACAGAUCUAAGAGCGAAUUUUCAUGCAACCUAGAUAUACACUGCCCUUUUAAUUUGCUAAGUUGUAAAUUUCCUCAACCGAUAUAUGGAACAAAAUUAAAAUUAGAUUUCUGUUAUUUUAGGUAUAAUCUCCGGGUAUACGUGAUGAGUUAGUACUUUUACGCAGUAGUGAUAUACAACAAAGAUCUCUGAUACCGAACGUGAAAAGUAAAAGUCCUUUUACAUCAUCGUUUUAUAUCUUGAAUUAAUAUAACACACAAUGACUAUUUUUUUUUUAGAAACACAAAAAGACUGUUGAGAAAAUUAAAUAACUAAAGUCUAUCAACCAUCUUAGCUGUACUUAAUCGUAUAUAUGAAAGUUGGCCAACUCUCUUCAUAUGGAUGACACAUCAUCACACAAGAAAAUGACAUGUGUCCUUUAACAUUAAUUAAAUUAAAAAUCAGCAAAAUUAAUUGAGAGAAAAUCAAAAGUUUCAUAUUCUGUUAAAUCGUCCAUUAAUUCAUUUCUUUAACUAUUUUUUCAAAAUAAAAAUAAAAUUAUAAAAUUAUUUAUUUAAAUAAAUCAAUUACUACUUUUAUUUUACUUUUAUUAUUUCUAUUUUUUUUUAAAUUAAUGGUCAAUGGUCAUCACUCUAUAAUGACUAAAUAGUUAUUUGUGUUGUAGUUUAGUUGUUUGCUACCUUAUAUUAGUUUAGUUAUUUUACCUUGAUUUUUUUAUUUUUACGUUAUGGUUCAUAUCUUAUCAUAUGAAAUUCUGUCUUUUCAUUUUUGUAUCUUUAGGUAAGUUCGUAACAUUGACAUUCAACAUUUUCAAGUAAUAGACUUUUGAGACUUUUGGUAAGUUUAUAAAUUCACCUUAGUUGUAUAUCAGGCUACUAUAGUUAAUUAAUUAUGUACCACAUUAAGAUGAUUAGUUUGUUUCCGUCUUUAUUGUACAUUGUGAUUUGUGAAGAUAGCAUUUAAUCAUUUAGUUAGCUAGCUAACCCAUAAGUUAUUUAUUUGCCACUGAAGCUAUAUGCCCCAAUUAACAAUCACGAUUAGAUCAUUUCAUAAAAUUAUUACAGAACAUGAAUUAUAUAUAAUGUCCUAUGACACAUAUUUUAUUUAUUAAAGAACUUAAUCAUCUAUGUGUAACACUACCUUUCAUUGUUUCAAGUAAAACUUUUGGUGUAUAUUUUCGUUUUUCUUUGGCAAUGUUAAUUGAAACAUUUGCGAUUAAUCGGGUGGCGUCACGAAAUCCGAUUGUGAACCGGGUAAUAGCCGGAUAAGACGUUAAUUUGGUGACGCUAUCACACGUAAAAAGCCAACAAACAGUCGAAUUUUAACCGGUCCAACUAGUUCUACUUGAUUAGAUCAUUUGAAGUCCACCUUUUGCAAGAUUUUCUUCGUGUAAUUUACUUAUCUUUAAAUCGAACAUAUAUAUAUAUAUAUAUAUAUUAUAUAUUUUUGAGUACUAAUAUAUUGCCUUUAUAAUUUGAUAAAUAUACUUGUAUGUAAUUAAAUCUUCCUCCUCACUAUAUAAAUUCAUGACUUUUAAAACUGUUUCUGUUUAUAUAUAUAUAUAUACUAGGAUUUAACCCGUGGUAUACCACGGGACAAAUAUUUUAUUUAUAUAUAAUAAUAUUAAAUUUUACGGUUUUAAAUUUAGUAUUAAAAUUAUAUAAUUUUAUAUUAAUAUUGUAAAUAAAAAAAUUGGUGAUGAUAAAAUAAUAAAUAAGGAUUUAACUCGUGUUAUAUCAAUCAAAUCCGUCCCGCUAUACAACUCGUCUCAUGAUAGUUUUAAUAUUUUUUUAUAAGGAUAAAUAUUAAUAAAUUGUAGGUAUGUAACCUAGCUGUAGGUAUGUAAAGAGUUAGUUUAAUGAAUUUGUACGUUAAGAUUAGACUAUUUAUUAAAGAAAUUUAAAAACACAAAUUGCAAAGAAAGCUGGAAAAAUUAAAACGUCAUCUCUGUGAACGUGUAUAUAUCGGAAAGAAGGAGAAGACCAGUAUCAAUCCUAAACCAACCAAAAAAAAACACCAAAAUCUCCGAUUGAGCAGUCAUGGACUUAUUCGGAGAAUUUCAUAAGGUGGAAAUCAAUGGGAAACUAUUUCUCGUAUACCACAACGUUAUAAAACCAUUACCAAACAUAAACAAUCCAUUGAUUCCGUCUACGAUCUCCCUCCUCAGCCUCUUUUCUUAUGCCCUCAACUCCGAACCGAAAUAUUAUCAAUUGAUAUCGAUAAUGCGAGGGUUGGUGAGAGGGUAUCUAAACAAAUUCUUUUCAAGCACAAUACUUCCCCUCUCUUUGAUGACACUAGUGACGGUCAUCAUGUACUCCCUCUGUUUUGGUGCAACAACAAAGAAGUCGAUCCAGAAGCAGUAGACGGCGAUGAGUGCUAUUCUUGCUCUUUCCAAUCCAUCGGUACAGACUAUUAUUUCUGUGACAAGUGUGAUAAAAGGUUCCAUAAAGAAUGCGUCGAGUGUCCACUUGAGAUUAGUUAUCCUACCCACACCAAACAUUCUCUCCAACUCUUCUAUUCUAAAUAUAGAUCUGACCUCUGCAUCUACUGUAGAGAAAGAGCAACCUAUCUGAUUUAUUUUUGUGCUCUUUGCGAUAGUUAUAUGCAUGUCUUUUGUGCUCAGAUGAAAAUACCUUUUUUUAUAGACCAACCAAAAAGACAUGACCAUACCCUCACCCUUUUUCCUAGACAAGCUUCCUUAACCUGCAAUAUUUGUGGUUUGGUAAAUAAACUUCAUCUCACCUACAUUUGCCCUAUAUGCGAUUUCGUAGCCCAUAGUGAUUGUAUCUAUAUCCCACAAACCAUAAGAAUAUCUCGUCACCACCAUCGUGUGUCUUUUAUUUCUUCCCUUCCUUUUGAAGAAAAGUCUUGCGGAGUUUGUCGUCAAAUGCUUGACAGUGAUUAUGGUGCAUAUAUUUGCAAAGGGUGUAGUGGCUUUGUCGCUCACAUAAGAUGUGCACUACGUAGUGAUAUAUGGGAUGGAAAAGAACUUGAAGGAGUACCAGAAGAAGUAGAAGAAGAUGACGUUGAAUCCUUCAAGAGGAUAGCUGAUGGAGUAAUACUCCAUUUUUCUCAUCGCCAUCAUCUGUAUUUUGAGAUAAGUGGAGUUUACAAUGGAAACAAGUUUUGUCAAGCUUGUGCCCUUCCAGUCAAUGAAGGGAAUUUGUAUGUAUGUGUGGGAUGUGAUUUCAUCCUACACGAAACAUGUGCAGAUGCUCCACGUAGAAAGGUCCAUCCAUUACAUCCCCAUCCCCUUAAACUAAUUUUUUAUGAAGACAAUUGCUUCCACUGCAAAGCUUGUUGGCGUACGAGUACUGCUUUUGGAUAUAGGUGUAUCAACCACAAUUGCAAGUACAUGAUAGAUAUAGUGUGUGCCUCGACUGCUGAGCCGUUUGAUUAUCAAGGCCAUCGACAUCCCUUAUUCUUAUCGUUAGACCCAAAAGAGAAGCCAAUGUGCCACAUUUGCAGGUCAACAAAAGAUAAGAAGGUACUUAACUGCAUUGAAUGUGACUUUAUUGUAUGUUUCGAAUGCGCCACCUUACCAUACAUGAUAAGGUAUAAGCAUGAUGAACAUUACCUCACAUUUUGUCAUGGAGAUGAGGCAAGUGACUCAGAUUGGUGUGAAUUAUGUGAGGGAAAGUUAGCAAUUGGAGGAAAAGAAGGAUUCUAUGAGUGCAAAGAUUGUUGUACGACACUUCAUAUUAAUUGCUUACUUGGCCCAGAUCCAUAUCUUAUGGUUGGUCAAAGGCUCCCAGUUCCUAACGGUGAGAUUUUUUUUCGACACAACAAUUAUACUACUCGGCCUUUUUGCUCGAUAUGCAAUAUUCGUUGUCCGUAUCCAACAUUUGUUUCAUACAUAAAGGAUAUGUUUAUAUCUUAUAUUCUAUGUUCUAGUAAGCACUUGAAGACGAGAUACCAUCAUUGAGUUAUCCCUUUUCUUUUAAAAUUUUAGUUGUCUUUUUACUUUUAUUUUGGAUGUACACCUGCAACCCUUUAUGUAAUAUAUUGUAUUUUUGGUUGGAUCUUUUUGUUAACCCUGUUUAUGUGUGUUUGGUUUAACAAUAUAUACUUAAAAUUUUAACUUAUGCUUUAAAACUUCAUCUGAUUCUUUAAGACUAAAUCAUUGAAUUUUAUUAAAAUACAGUGAAAUUCUUCUAUAGGUGAAAAAUAUAGAACUAGAAAGUAAAAGGUCGAGAUUAUUAUAUCUAGGUGUACCUCCAACGCUUUUUCUAAUAUGUAUUGUUGGUUCUUUUUGCCAACCUCGUUUGUCUGUGUUUGAUGUAAUAUCUAUUAUACAUUACUAGGCCGAAACCCGCGCCAAGCCGCGAGUUUUUUUUUUAAUGUAAUUUUGUUAAGUUGUAUGUAGGUAUUGAAUGUCAUUUGUCAUAAUAUAUGUAGAAUAAAAAGAUUCAUUUGAAAGUGAUUGUGAACACAAUGCAUUUGUUGAAUUUUUUUAGUAAUAUAGCCUUUAUAAGUUUUAGAAGCUAAUUUUUUGCUUUACGAACAUCUAUUUAGAAGAGUCAUUAAAAAAACAAAAGUAAAAAGAGUUAAAAAUCACCAUGUGCUAAUUCUGAUGAGGUUAAAGUCAUUUUCGAUUCUUAAGAAUAUGUUAUACGGAGUUAUCAUCUUUGAUUUUAAUGUUUUUCAUAUGUUGAAGAACAAAAAUGACAUCUUAGUUAUAACCAUUUUUUGCUUGUUUCGUAUUACAUCAACAAUGUCAUUUGUAACAUUUUUCAGCGUAAGCUUCUUUUCCAAAACUUCCAUAUAUGUUGGUGAUUUAUCUUAAACGCUAGUUUUUUUCUCUAUUAAAACCAUAGCAUCAAACCAAACUGAAGAAUGAUAAGAUACUAACUAAGUAUUAUAAUAAUAUUAUUAAUCCGGAAGAUACAAAAUUGAAAAUAUUUUUUUUAGUUUGUCAUCUUCUUCUUUUUUAUAAUUUGCAUAUUAUUUGGUGAUUUGUUUUAUGAACCAAAUGAAUAUUUGAGUAGAAAAUUUAAUUAGUUUCAAUAAUUAGGAAGGAUUUUAUUUUAUUAUUAGUUAUAUUUAAAUUUCACAUUUUAUCAUAAUAAUAUAAUAUUUUGGUAUUUUUAUACUUUGUAUAAUUAUAUAUUAUUAUUUUUUGUUAUUUUUCAUUUCACCGUAAUAUCACCCAUUGGUUAACCAGUUAUAAAAUCUUGGAAACGCUCCAAUUUUUAACCAUUAAAUCAGUGGUUCAAAAUAUUUCAUAACGAUUGAAACCGCAACCGUCCGCUUCCGCAAACUCUUUUAUUCAUAACCGCAAACGCUAUGUUUAAAUCAGCGAGGCCUUUAAUCAUUAUUACCCUCUCAUAAUAUCAUACUACUAUCACCAUCAUCAUCAUCAUAUAAAUAUAUCAUAGUCAUAAUAGCUAUCAUCAUGAUAAUAACAUUUUCAUAAAGUCGUAAUUUUUCCGUUAAAAACAUAAACUCUUAAUUUUUGUCCCAAAAAGUAAACCUGUAAUUUUCCCGCCAAAACACGUAAAUCCGUAAUUUUCCUGCCAAAAAAGUAAACCCAUAAUUUUCCCGCAAAAAAAACGUAAACCCGUAAUUUUUACGCAAAAAACGUAAGCCCGUAAUUUUUCCGCAAAAAAGUACACCCGUAAUUUUUCUACUAUAAAUGUAAUUCCGUUAACCAGUCAUAAAGCUCCCGCAAAUGCACCAAUUUUUAACUGCUAAACAAGUCGUUCAAAUUUAUAACGCUUAAAACCGCAACCCUCUGAUUCCGUAAACUCUCGCAAUCACAACCGUAACCGCUGCGUUUCAACCAGUCAGGCCCUUAGAUAAGUUUUCUUAGUCAUGGGCAUUCGGUUAUCUGUUCAGUUUCGGUAAGUACUCAUUCGGUUAUUUAUUCCUUCGGUUAUAAAGUUUAGUAUCAUUCAGUUAUUUUGAAAUUUUUGUUCGGUUCCGGUUCUUUCAGUUUUGAAAUUUAUUAUACAUUCGGUUAUUUUUCUUUGAAUAUUCUCGGAAAUUACUAUUAUCUAUAUAUUUUUAAUUAUUUAUUCUAGAAAUAACUAAUAUUUUUGAAAGUAUAAUUAUAUUUUGGAUAUUUUCGGUUACCCAAAAUAUUUCGGUUUGUAUCCAUUUGGGUUCGGUUCUUUCGGUUAUAGAAUUUAAUAUCUAUUCGGUUAUUUUCAUAUUUUCGGUCCGAUUUGGUUUGAGUUUUUUUUUUUUGCAUUGAUUUUGGUUCAGUACAUUAGGUUCGGUUUAUUUGUCUAAGCCUAAGUCUUUUAGAUUAGGAAGUUUAGGCCCAUAUUUUUAUAUAGAUUUUAGUUUUGAAAGUAGUUUAGUUGGGUUAGACCCAUGUGUAAUUUUAAUUUUGUUAAGUUGAUGAGAUGACAUGAAAAAAUAGUAUGUUUUUAUUGGUUGAAGUAAAUGAGCUGUAUUAAUCAAAAUAUUCUAAUUGGUUGUUGAUUUUGCAGAGAUGUCAAGCUGAGGUUCACUUAAAAAGCUGAUGUGUUUGCACAUGAGAGACUUUUAACACUUUUAAAGUGUUGAUUAUGUAUUUAAAGCAUUAACUUUUAUAUUAAAAAAUCCAUCUUAUUUAAUAGACUAAAUUUUUAAAUGCUGAUAAGAGAUGUGUGAAAUUUCUCUAUAGGUGAAAAUUAUUGAACUUGUAAAGUGAAAACCAGAGAUUAUAUAGUACGAUGUAACAGAAAAAGCCACUCUUCUGUUAGAGCUUUUUAGUCCUAUUCCUAAUAAAAGACUUGGAUUUUUCAAAAGGAUAUUUUCAUCUAAACACAAUUACACCACGAUUGCAUCUACAAAAUCACAAUUUUAAUAGAUGCAUAUGUCAUAAAAUCGCUUAAUACAAAACCAAUUCAAGCUGACAUUGGAAAUCCCUCUGAUCCAUAUAUAAGGAAGGGAGAGAAAGAUGAGGUCUAAAGAGAGGAUAUAUUGUUUCGUUAGUUCUUGGUUGAAUUAACAUGUUUAUAUUUUGUAACUUUUUAAAUUCUUUCUAAUACCACCUUUAAAAGUGUUAUUGUUUUUUUUUUUUUGGCAAAGCAAAGUAUUAUUGUUUUGUUUUUGUUUUUGUUUUUGUUUUUGUGCUAAAAAGAUAUUCAAAGUCUCUCCAAAUUGGUUUUCAAUAUUGUUUUGAAAAGGAUUUGUUAAGUUUCCUGGUCAAAACUUUAUUGCUUACGAAAAUAUAUUGUUAAAAAUGUGGCAAUUGAGUGAAAUAUCGAUCAAACGUAGCGUUUUUAUAUGCUGUAGUUGGGCUGUGAGAUUCAGUCGAAAUUGAUACAGUCGCAUAUGAUAGAUGUCGCAUAUGAUAGAUUAAUUGAUAGUUCGAAUGUUUUAUUGGUUAAUCUAAACUGAUGUGAACUCUAAAGCACUCUAUAAACUAUACAAAACGUUUUUUUUUUUGUCUUUUUUUUUUGUGUUUUCUAAUUUCUAUGCCUUUGAUUGAUAUAUGAAUAGGAAGAUAUUAGCUCUGAUUGGUAAUACAUAUAAUGACAUAAUGACGUUUUCUAAGGCGAUUAUGCAAGAAAUUUGUCAAUCAAGAAAAUCUGCUUAACUGCAUUAGAAAACACAAAAACCCAUGAUUUUUAUUUUCACCUAAAAUUACAAGUACAAAUUUAUUAUGCAAAAAAGGUAUAUAGUUGUUUAUUUGCAUAAUGAUUAUUAUUAUUAUAUACAUACUAAAUAUUAGGAAAUGUAAAAUAAAAAAUAUCAUUGUUUACACAAAAAUUAUAUCGUUAAUAAUACAAAAAAAUAUUUUUCACAACUUUUUAAUAAACUCUAAUAAUCUUACAGUUUUUAGUAUUGAGAAUUACUCAAAAUUUAACAAAUUUUUUAAAAUCUUUAUUUUGUUUAUUUAGUAUAAAUAAAUACAAAUAUAUCUAUAUCUAUGUAUAUAUUGUUAAUAUAAUAUUUAUUUUGUUAUUCUGUAAAAUAUAUCCAAUCAACCUAUUUUAAUAAUAAUUUCAUUCUAUGGUUUUUUAUUGCGUAAGUUUUCAUUCUACGAAUUUUUAUCUGCAACUUAUGUUAUUAUGAUAUUAUGCAAUGUUAUCGAUCGGAAUCAUGUAAAUAAUAAUAAAAACGACUGUUGAGACUUUGUAAAAAAAAAGACCAUUGAGAUAUUUAGUGGCCGAUAUAUAAAGAUUUUUUUUAAAAUGGAGUACAUUAAAUAUAUCAACAACCAAAGCUGUAUUUUUAUUAUUUUAAUUGGGCUUAUUUGUUUUCGUCAACCAUCUUAGCUGCAUCUUGUAUACAGAAUAAAAAACAAUGACUCUCUACAUUGAUGUAAUAUAUUUAAUUUUUGCUUAACGUUAUCGUAAUAAUAAUAUGAAAAUAGAAUUUAGCCCAUAGUUUAUUUGCCACUAACACUUAAGGACUCAAUAAACAAUUACGACUAGAUCACAUCAUUAUGAAUUAAAUCCAUUAAUUAUUUACACAAAUUGCAGAUGAGAGUUAUUUAACUAAAAGCCUUAUUGGGAAGCUGAAAAAUUAAAACGAAGAGUGCACAUUUCAGUCUGUAUGUGUAUGUUUAUAUAUACACAUAUGUAGGGUCCCAUACCCAUCUCUGUAACGUUUAUUGUGAAACUCACUGCACUAAUUAAAUGGACAUGUUUGAGAGAUUGUAUAAGCAACUUAGCUAAAACGCAAAUCCACAUAUCCUCAAAAUAAACUUGUUCAGUAAAAGCUUCAAUCAAAUCACCAAAACUCAUCCUCAGAGCAAUCUCUAUAUAUGUUCCAUCUCAAACAAAUCACAGAACUCCUUCUUUUUAUUUUACCAAAUUUAUAUAUAAAUUUGUGGGAUCAUUGGUUUCUUAAAACCCCUUACCAAGAAAAGAUGACUGAAAUAAGUGUUGAAAGCACUCACAAAAGUUAGUUCACUCGUUUAAGAAUUUAGAAGAUUACAUUUCUUACUAAUAAAAGAAGUUCAUUGAGGCUUCUCAGGCUAGCCACAUCAGCUUUCUAAUCUUUUCCAUUAAGCUGCCACAUCAGCCUAAUUUUGCUCGCAAUGUUUCUAAACCCAGCCACAUUAGCCUAAUUUAUUACUAAUAAUCAAGGCUUUGGGCCUCUUAAUAAUGUAAUCAACGUUUUGGUUUCCCUCUUAGAUAAUAUACAUCUCAUACCUCUCUAAGGGUUUUACGUUCCAAUUCAUCUCCCCCAAAUCGACUCUCUAAUAGUCGCCUCUCCUUCAAAAAUACGAUCACCUUCCCGUUCAUCGUUCACUUCAUCCUAAUAUUUCUAAACUCUGCAUUUAAUAAUGAUAGACUGACAAAGGUGAGACAAAUUGUUCUUUACGUCUUAUUAUUAAAUCGAGAUAUAUAGCAUGACUCAUGUUAUCUCUGUAUAAGGCCUUUUAACAAAAAAAAAAAUGUGAUUUCUGUAUAUGCAUGAAAUAUGGCCACAACUCUCUAACUUCUUCACUUAAGGUAUAUGUCUUCUUUUCGCCCGUCUAAAUAUUUCUGUGGUUCAUGGUUGGGAAUUGACGUUGCAAUCAUAAUAUGUUCCUUCAUGUUAUAUGAAUAUAUUAUGACUUGCAGGCUUACAAUGGAAACCAGAGACUACCUUGGCAGCAGUUUGGAGGAGGUAAACUCUAGAAGGUUGUCUCGACAUGUGCACGUUUUGGUUUUCAUCUAUUGAUUCUCCCAUGUGUUAUACUUAGGUGUUAUCAAUUCUAGAUUCUCAUUAUAGUAGAAACAGAGUAAAAUUUAGGUUUCUGAGGUCUUAAACUUGGUGAAUGCAUGAUAUGUGAUGGUCAAGGAUUUCACUAUGUAAGUGAACAAAGUAAAUUAAUUGUCAUUAAAGGUCUUUUUUAUAUGUUUAACUUUUGACGAGAUGCAUCUAUUAUAUGGAUCAUAUUCAUAUUUCUCCUGCAAAUCUUCAAAAAUGAUAAAUGUUGUUUCUUAAAGCACAAAAAGAUUAUAUAUGAAUAUAUAUCAGAAGAGGAGGGUUCCGUUUGGUUAUAUAUAUGCACUUCCAAGCAUGUUGUGACCAAUAAUAUACUGUGGUUUAAGGGAGAUCUUACAUAUGGCGUUCAUUAUCAAGGUUUCAGGCUUCAAACGUUCAUUGAUCCACCAUUAUACACAUCAGCUGCUUAAGAUAAGCAUGCAACUCUCAUUCUCUUCAGCUUUUUCUUAUUAAGAUUCUUACAUUCUUUAGUUUAGUUUCAUUUUAUAUAUAGAAAUUGUUGUAUUACUAUUAUUCUAAAAAGUAAAACAAUAUGUGCGUAUAAAACCAUAGUUCUUUACGUUACCAUAACCACACAUAUUCUUCUCAUUUUUUUCUGGUUAACCAUAUUGGAAAAAUAAAAUAAAAUAAUGUACUGUAAUCACCGUUAUUUUUACUUGCUAAUCUAUUGCUUGAAAAAAGUACAUCAUGUAAUUUCAAAAACAAAAAAAACUAAAACAAAAUCACAUGAAUUAUAGUACCAGUAUAUAGAUGUCAAGACUAUACUUUGUUCACAUAUUCAAUGAUAGUAUUAAAUAUAUUAAAACUUGCUUAUAAAAAGUAACCGGCGCGUAGAGCCGACCAAUCCCUAGUGAAAAAAUAAAAUUUGUAAUAUUUAUUCAUCUAAAUAACUAAAAUAUCAACCAGCUGUAUUAUUAGCUUAGUUGUGUUUUGGCUUUUUCAACCUAGCUGUAUAUGAAUGUAGAGAGUUAAUUUAAUUAAUUUGUACAUUAAGAUGUAUUAGAAUAUUUAUUAACGAAAUUCAAAAACACAAAUUGCAAAUGAAAAGCUGGAAAGUAAAACGUCAUGUCUGUGACUACUAUGUGUAUGCAUCUGUAUAUAUCGGAAUGAAGGAGAAUAACAAUAUAUAUCCUAAACCAAAGAAAAAAAAGAAUCUCCGAUUGAGCAGCCAUGGACUUGUUCGGAGAAUUUCAUAAAGUGGAAUUUAAUGGGAAACCAUUUCUUGUAUACCGCAACGUUAUAAAACCAUUACCACAAACACAAACCUCAAACUCCUUUGAUAAACAAUCCAUUGAUUCCGUCUACGAUCUCCCUCCUCAACCUCUUUUCUUAUGCCCUAGACUCCGAACCCGUAUAUUAUUGAAUUCUCUUGAUGAUGAGGUGGAAGAUGAGGUAACUAAUCAUAUCCUUUCCAAGUACAGUUCUUCCCCUCUCUUUGAUGAGACCAGCAACAAUCAUCAUGUACUCCCUCUGUUUUGGUGCAACAACAAAGAAGUUGAUCCGGAAGCAGAAGAAGGCGAUGAGUGCUAUUCCUGCUCUAUCCAAACCAUCGGUACAGACUAUUAUUUUUGUGCCACGUGUGAUAAAAGGUUCCACAAAGAAUGCGUCGAGUGUCCACUUGAGAUUAGUUAUCCUACCCACACCAAACAUUCUCUCCAACUCUUCUAUUCUAAAUAUAGAUUUGACCAUUGCAUCUACUGUAGAAAAAGAGCAACCUAUAUGAUUUAUUUUUGUGCUCUUUGCGACAGUUAUAUGCAUGUCCUUUGUGCUCAGUCAAAAAUACCCUUUUUUAUAGACCAGCCAAAAAGACAUGACCAUACUCUCACCCUUUUCCCUAGACAAGCUUCCUUAACCUGCAAUAUUUGUGGUUUGAUAAAUAAACUCCAUUUCACCUACGUUUGCCC
rnacentral:lncRNA from 1 species